UGCUAUCGAGGUUCGACUAAGCCAUGCGAGUCGAAUGUAGCAAUACAUGGCGUACUGCUCAGUAACACGUGGACAACCUGCCCUUAGGUYGGGUAUAAACCCGGGAAACUGGGUAUAAUCCCCUAUARGUCUCGGCUGCUGGAAUGCACCGAGAUUAAAAGCUCCGGCGCCUAAGGAUGGGUCUGCGGCCUAUCAGGUAGUAGUGGGUGUAGCGUACCUACUAGCCUACGACGGGUACGGGUUGUGAGAGCAAGAGCCCGGAGAUGGAUUCUGAGACACGAAUCCAGGCCCUACGGGGUGCAGCAGGCGCGAAAACUUUACAAUGCUGGCAACAGCGAUAAGGGAACCUCGAGUGCCAGGUUACAAAUCUGGCUGUCGAGAUGCCUAAAAAGCAUUUCAUAGCAAGGGCCGGGCAAGACCGGUGCCAGCCGCCGCGGUAACACCGGCGGCUCGAGUGGUAACCGUUAUUAUUGGGUCUAAAGGGUCUGUAGCCGGCCGGAUAAGUCUCUUGAGAAAUCUGGCAGCUYAACUGUCAGGCUUUCAGGAGAUACUGUCUGGCUCGAGGCCGGGAGAGGUGAGAGGUACUUCAGGGGUAGGGGUGAAAUCUUGUAAUCCUUGAAGGACCACCAGUGGCGAAGGCGUCUCACCAGAACGGACCUGACGGCAAGGGACGAAAGCUAGGGGCACGAACCGGAUUAGAUACCCGGGUAGUCCUAGCCGUAAACGAUACUCGCUAGGUGUCGGCCACGGUGCGACCGUUGUCGGUGCCGUAGGGAAGCCGUGAAGCGAGCCACCUGGGAAGUACGGCC
rnacentral:rRNA from 1 species